AUAUUGUCAUUUAUUUCCGAUACUUAGCACUUUGUUUGACUUUUCAACUAAUUAAGUGAAAAGACGAUUUUACCCUUGGAUAUGGGCAAAAAAGCCCCUGGGUAACCAACGAUGUAGCCUCCCUUGUCAACUUACAUUGUCUCAAAUGUCUAACAACCCAAAAAAAAAAAAAAAAACAUGUUAGGUUAAUUACCAUUCGUUAUCACAAGCCCCACAAAAAAAAACAUUAAAUUGAAAAAGGAACUCUUAUAAUGAAUAUUUUAUGAAGUCAGUGAGCAUAAAGUCUGAUUAGGAGUUCUAUAAUUUUGCAUCACAAAAAAUCAUCUCCCAAAAAAAAUGAGGAAAAUUGCAAAUCAAUUAUUUUGCUUAAGAUCCUUCUUUUUGUUUUGUUAAUGGAAAAUAUGAAGUUGUGCAGCUGCAGCAUGUACUCCAACAACAGCAGCGACUUAUAUGAGAAGUUGAGAUACCUGAGUUGCUUCAUUGAACCUAUGAAUUUCGGGAUCCAUUUUUCCAGCUGCAAAUAAAGAUAUCACAUGUAUUCAGUUAUAGCAAGAUCCUGAAAUCCAUAGGCUCAAUGAAACAACUCAGGUAUCUCAACCUCUCAUCUAAUUCCUUUUUCUGGAAAAGUUCCUGAUGAACUUGGUUAUAUUCCCAGAAGCAUAGGUCAAUUGAGAUCAUUGGAAUCUCUUGAAUGAUUUAUCAAGGAACAUCAUGCUACUCGGACUCUGGUACCCAUAUCGGAAACGGACACAUGUCAGUGUCCGACUCAGCUAUUUUGGGGGAAAACAUUCAUGAUUUUUGUACAAAAUGAAGUAUCCGGUGUCCAUACCCAUGUCCGUGGGGUUGAAGAUCCGACACGGGUACUUGAGGUAAAAAUGAAGAGUCCGGGCAAUAUAGGUCCCAACAAGCAUCAGUGUAAUUUCUCCCUUUGACUUAUCCUACAACAAACUUUCUGGUCCAAUCCCAACUGGAAGGAAGUUGCUGCAGAGUGCAGACCUUCACAAACUCUUCCUAUGCGGGAAAUCAAUAUCUUUGCGGAGACCCACUGGUCAAGAAAUGCAAAACCGAGAAUGACUCACCAAAUGGUUCAUCGGGUGAUCAAAACAACCAAGAUGAAGAAAGCGAGGACAAGCAUCAGACAAUGUGGUUCUACCUGGUUGUGAUGUCAGGAUUUGCUACCGGGUUUUGGUGUGUUGUAGGAACGUUGUUGCAAUCUGAUUUUCUUUAGAGUUGGCAUGUUGAAAUUUGAAAAUGCACAAGACUGGUUGUAAGUGGCCAUUGUUGUUAGGAUGGCUAAGCUCAAGAAUAAAUAAGGUACUCCUAGUUUGUGUGAUAUAUUUUUGGGAAUUUUCCAUUAGAUGGUACACUUAAGGUAUUGAUUUAUUUACUACCAUGACUUAUUCCAUUAAAUAUUUAGCCGUGGUUAAUUGGAUUAAAAAUAAAAAUAAAUUGUCUCAUAGUAUCAAAAAUUAUGUUCAGGACAGGGUGAUGGCGGAUGAAUUAGUUUCUAAAAUACAAGUUGUCGAAGUGAUUUUCCUUGCCGCUAUUUUUUUGCUCUUAUUCUUCUAUGCGAGAUGCAGUUAACCUGUAUGAGCCUAAUAAGAACACAUUUCAUAAACCAAUCAAACAAGAUGUGGAUUAUGUGUUCGUCCUAUAUGAAAUAGACUGGAAGAUGUAAUUAAAGGAGCUUCUUCAUCAACAAUCAUCUCAUAAGUUUGAAUUACUCCCUUCACUGCUCCACCAGUUUUACUAUCACCAUUGGGUACAUAUAUAUAUACCAGAUGACUUUUUUCAAACUUUCAAUGGUUAACCACAGUUAAAGUUUCUAAUGAAAAAGUUCAUCAUAAUAAUGUUAUAAGUGUACUAUUGGUAAGUCAAUUUUUAUUAAGUUCUGCAAACAGUACAAGUGUAUUAAUGGGAAUUUCCCUAUAUUUUUUGUAUGAUAUUUAGAAUUUUUUGUCAUUUAACACCUUAAAAAAAACUAGUUUUUGUAAUUUAACACCUUACUUAUUUUUUAUUGUUUUUAAACACCUUAAAAAAUAAAAAAAAAAUUAGAAAUCAACACCACUUGACAAUUUUUGUUAGAAAAAACAUUAGUUUUUAACUAUGCUAAAGUUCCCAAGGCAUGAUAUGGUGGUAAACAACUCCUUCUACCAUCAAAUUAUGCUUUGGAAGUUACAGCAUGAUUAAAAAUCAACGUUUUUUUCUUAUGGAAAUCGUUAAGCGGUGUUGAUUUAUAAAUUUUUAGAUUUUUAAGGUGUUUAAAUAUAAUAAAAAAAUAAGUAAGGUGUGUAAUUUCAAAAACUAAUUUUUUUAAAGUGUUAAAUGACAAAAAAUCCUGAUAUUUAUCCAACAUAGAUUCUCCCUUUCCUAUUUUUUGUACUCAAGAAUAAAGAAGGUAGUAUGGUACCUUUGUAUUUACUCCCUCCGUUUCUUUUUAUUUUUUACGUUUUUCUUUUUGAGUAUUUCAAAAUGUUUCUUUA